AUGUUCCCACUUUCUGUCUCUGUGGCUCCUCUCUACGGCCAUCAGGGUACCAUGCUUGUAAAAACAGUUCCCUCCAAAUGGGCAGCUCCCACGUCCUUCAUCAAAAUACCUGCACGCCUUGUUGCUCAUUGCCUCCUUGUAUUUCUGAAUGAGUUUCUGCUUCUCUUCUUUCUCCUCCACCCAGUACUCACUUGGAAUGACAAAGUUAGAUGUGAUCCGGCAUUCGGGGCAGGACUUUUAUAUGUUGUGAUCUCUGGGCGGCACGCAUUGGAUGGAGGACCUGCAGCCCACACAUGUCACACGAGUCUCCGUGGAGAUACACACAGUUCUCCCCAUACCGGCACUCUCCCACUGCAGCAUAGGGGCAAAGCUGCUUCUUGGUUUCCACUGCUGUCUGUUCUUUCUCUGAUUCUUCCUUGGUCACAGAGCCCUGUGGGGGCGCUUCAGUGCAGGAAGGGGCAGUACGGCCACAGUAGGGCUGCCCGGGAACAAACUCAAUGGCAUUCACCCAGUCUUCUGAACCUGCGCCGACAGUAGCAAAGUUUGAAUUUCUGGACUCUGCUUCACCCGUAUUCAUUUCAACAACUGGUCCAACUCCCGAUGAGAGACUUGAGGAAGCAGCAAGAGAUGAUUUUGCAGUUAGAUCUGCAGCAGUCACUUCUUCAUGUUUCAAUAGCUUGCUAUGUUCAUAUCUGCAGCGGUCUCCGUAAAUACAGUAGCCUCGCUGAAAAUACUUGCACACUACACCAUAAGGACUGUCAGAGAGGUCAUGCGAGUAGCGACAAUUAUCUCCUUCUUUACAAACCCCGUGCAUGAAAUACCUUAGCUCCUAGUUUUUCUUCUUGCUUUUGGUAUGGGUUGAAGUGGUGGACUCAGAGCUGAUGGCCAAGAAAGAAUUCUUAAGAGGUCUUCAGUUCAAAAAAGGUGGUUUUACCAAAAUAAAGGGACUGGGUUCCUGGGCUGAAAGAGCUGCCGGCACUUGUCUUUGAAAUCAUAACUGUAGAGGCGAUGCUUAUCCUCCUUGGCAUAUACAUC
rnacentral:lncRNA from 1 species